UUGGAGGGCAAGUCUGGUGCCAGCAGCCGCGGUAAUUCCAGCUCCAAUAGCGUAUAUUAAAGUUGUUGCAGUUAAAAAGCUCGUAGUUGAAUUUCGGGGUUAGUAGGUGGUCAUGCCUCUGGUAUGUACUGGUCUCACUGAUUCCUCCUUCCUUAUGAACCGUAAUGCCAUUAAUUUGGUGUUGCGGGGAAUUUGGACUGUUACUUUGAAAAAAUUAGAGUGUUUAAAGCAAGCUAACGCUUGAAUACAUUAGCAUGGAAUAAUGAAAUAGGACG
rnacentral:rRNA from 1 species